UCCAGCUUGCUGGAUGCUGACGAGCGGCGGACGCGGUGAGUAAUGCAUAGGAAUCUGCCCGGUAGUGGGGGAUAACCUGGGGAAACCCAGGCUAAUACCGCAUACGUCCUACGGGAGAAAGGGGGCUUCGGCUCCCGCUAUCGGAUGAGCCUAUGUCGGAUUAGCUAGUUGGUGAGGUAACGGCUCACCAAGGCCACGAUCCGUAGCUGGUCUGAGAGGAUGAUCAGCCACAUCGGGACUGAGACACGGCCCGAACUCCUACGGGAGGCAGCAGUGGGGAAUAUUGGACAAUGGGGGGAACCCUGAUCCAGCCAUGCCGCGUGUGUGAAGAAGGCCCUCGGGUUGUAAAGCACUUUCAGCGAGGAAGAACGCCUAGCGGUUAAUACCCGCUAGGAAAGACAUCACUCGCAGAAGAAGCACCGGCUAACUCCGUGCCAGCAGCCGCGGUAAUACGGAGGGUGCAAGCGUUAAUCGGAAUUACUGGGCGUAAAGCGCGCGUAGGUGGCUUGAUAAGCCGGUUGUGAAAGCCCCGGGCUCAACCUGGGAACGGCAUCCGGAACUGUCAAGCUAGAGUGCAGGAGAGGAAGGUAGAAUUCCCGGUGUAGCGGUGAAAUGCGUAGAGAUCGGGAGGAAUACCAGUGGCGAAGGCGGCCUUCUGGACUGACACUGACACUGAGGUGCGAAAGCGUGGGUAGCAAACAGGGAUUAGAUACCC
rnacentral:rRNA from 1 species